rnacentral:rRNA from 1 species
GCUCAGAUUGAACGCUGGCGGCAGGCCUAACACAUGCAAGUCGAACGGUAACAGGAAACAGCUUGCUGUUUCGCUGACGAGUGGCGGACGGGUGAGUAAUGUCUGGGAAACUGCCUGAUGGAGGGGGAUAACUACUGGAAACGGUAGCUAAUACCGCAUAACGUCGCAAGACCAAAGAGGGGGACCCUCGGGCCUCUUGCCAUCGGAUGUGCCCAGAUGGGAUUAGCUUGUUGGUGGGGUAACGGCUCACCAAGGCGACGAUCCCUAGCUGGUCUGAGAGGAUGACCAGCCACACUGGAACUGAGACACGGUCCAGACUCCUACGGGAGGCAGCAGUA